GUCAGGUUGGCCUGACGUCAGGAGGCUCCUGUUGUUCUUCUAGACCCCACUAUCCCUCCCGCAGUGCUUGCCUUGGCCCCUUUUCUUCACUCUGCUCUUCAGGCCUACAGAGCCUCGUGCUGCAUCCUCUGUCCGGUCUUUCCCAGCAGCCUGUGGUGCGGAGCCUUCCUUCCUUCUCCCUCGUUCCUCCUUCCGGGACUGAAGCUUAGCUUGCUUUCCUGCCCCGUCCCUUUUAAACUGGUGUUGUAGCUGUCACAGCAUUUCUCUUCGCUCUGAUCGCUGACUGACUUGCUCUUUUUCCCACUGAGCUCUGAAAUCUUUGAGAAUGGGGUCUUUGUCUUGUUCCUCUUUGUCACCUCAGUGCUCAUGGCAGGGCCUGGCACAUAGUAGGUGUUCAGUAAAUGUUUAUUGAAUGGAUGGGUAUUUGUGGGGAAAGGGUUCUGGGAAAUAAUGAAAGAAACCUGAUUUGGGAGGUGGUCACAGAUCGCCUCCUCCCCAGCGCUUUCCCCAGGUGGCUCAUUUAGGAAAUGAGUGUAUUUGCAGGGCAUGCAGGGGUAGAGGCCUGGCUUGGAGAGCGGAAGAGAGUCCAUCAGUUGGCUCACCUGUAACCACUUUGGGGUGUGUUGUGGAGGGACAUGGCUGGGAUCUGUGUCCUGGCCGUCGCCUUCAUCUGACAUUCCACUGGAGAAGAGCAGCCAUGCCUUGUGAGCCCACGUGCUAAGCUUUCGUGCUCUCUACGUGAGAUCAGAGCUUAGGGAGGUUCCCGCUCUGCUUUCUUAGCCCAGGAACAAGGGCUGUCUGCUUGUUACUUUUGUAGAAAGAAGUAUCUUUAAUAAUCGGGAGCAAAGGAGCCUGGGAUUAGGUGAGUGUUUCUGUGGUUGAUGUUGACGAAAUAAUAUCAGGAGUGUGUAGUGUGAUAGGAUGCUAGACAUGGGGACUCCGUCAGCAGUGAUUUAUUUUUAUUGGGACUUUUGGUGCAUUUAUGUGCCAAACCAAUGAGUUUAUAGUUUACUGUAGGAAGACCACAGCACGAACUACAGCCUGUGGGCGUGUGGCCCAAGAGCCCUGAGCUAAGAAUGGUUUUUACACUUUGAAAGGAUUGUGAAAAUACAACAACUUGUGACAGAGACCACAUAGUGCUGGCAAAGCUGAACGUAUUUACUCUCUAGCUUUUUACAGAUAAAGUUUAUUGGCACCACCAUGUCCUCCUUCCCUGGGCUGUGAGUGGACGUGACCAAUAAACUGCUGAUGAUCUCAUCUGUGCUGUGUCGGGUGUCGUGGUGUGGCCACCCCCAGAGCCCUAGGGCAGGACUCCCUCCGUCAUCAAUGGGGUGAAGUCGAGGUGGAUGAAACCGGAAGUGGCAUUUUCC
rnacentral:lncRNA from 10 species